GGGGAAUUUUGGACAAUGGGGGAAACCCUGAUCCAGCAAUGCCGCGUGAGUGAAGAAGGCCUUCGGGUUGUAAAGCUCUUUUGUCAGGGAAGAAAAGGACCGGGCUAAUAUCCUGGUUUCAUGACGGUACCUGAAGAAUAAGCACCGGCUAACUACGUGCCAGCAGCCGCGGUAAUACGUAGGGUGCAAGCGUUAAUCGGAAUUACUGGGCGUAAAGCGUGCGCAGGCGGUUGUGUAAGACAGAUGUGAAAUGCCCGGGCUCAACCUGGGAAUUGCAUUUGUGACUGCACGGCUAGAGUGUGUCAGAGGGGGGUAGAAUUCCACGUGUAGCAGUGAAAUGCGUAGAUAUGUGGAGGAAUACCGAUGGCGAAGGCAGCCCCCUGGGAUAACACUGACGCUCAUGCACGAAAGCGUGGGGAGCAAAC
rnacentral:rRNA from 1 species